GUUGAGAUGGCCGAGUUGGUCUAAGGCUCCAAAUUAAGGUUCUGGUUUGAAAGGGUGUGGGUUCAAUACCACUCUCAACC
rnacentral:tRNA from 1 species